CACGUAGGGGCCAAGCGUUGUCCGGAUUUAUUGGGCGUAAAGAGCUCGUAGGCGGUUCGACAAGUCGGGUGUGAAAACUCCGGGCUCAACCCGGAGACGCCACCCGAUACUGUCGUGACUGGAGUCCGGUAGGGGAGUGGGGAAUUCCUGGUGUAGCGGUGAAAUGCGCAGAUAUCAGGAGGAACACCGGUGGCGAAGGCGGCUACCUGGACCGGUACUGACGCUGAUGCGCGAAAGCCAGGGGAGCAAACGGG
rnacentral:rRNA from 1 species